rnacentral:rRNA from 1 species
GCAAAUGAAGUACAAAUUCAGAGAAUAAUUGAUAGCAUCAAUGCACCGGGUCCACUCACUCGUUCAAGGGCAACACAACUAGCAAAUUCCUGUGGGCACUUCGCAUUUGUCUCAAUAUCUGAACCCAAGAAAGUUGAAGAAGCCUUCUUGGAACCUGAAUGGAUUCAAGCUAUGCAAGAAGAGCUUCAACAGUUUGAGCUGAAUAAUGUAUGGGAACUGGUUAAGCGUUCUGAUCCUCGCAAGCACAAUAUAAUAGGCACCAAAUGGAUAUAUUGCAACAAGCAAGAUGAGCAUGGUCAAGUUGUCAGAAACAAAGCUCGUCUCGUUGCUCAAGGAUAUACUCAAGUGGAAGGGAUUGACUUCGAUAAAACAUUUGCUCCUGUGGCUAGACUUGAAGCCAUACGUAUACUGCUGGCCUAUGCAAAUCAUCAUAAC